rnacentral:rRNA from 1 species
GUCCACGCCGUAACGAUGUGUGCUGGAUGUUAGGUGACCUAGUCACUUAGUGUCGUAGCUAACGCGGUAAGCACACCGCCUGGGGAGUACGGCCGCAAGGUUGAACUCAAAGGAAUUGACGGGGCCCGCACAAGCGGUGGAGCAUGUGGUUUAAUUCGAAGCAACGCGCAGAACCUUACCAGGACUUGACAUGGGGAGGCCGCGGCCAGAGAUGGUCGUUUCCCGCAAGGGACCUCCUGCACAGGUGCUGCAUGGCUGUCGU